rnacentral:rRNA from 1 species
GACAGAGGGUGCGAACGUUGUUCGGAAUUACUGGGCGUAAAGCGCAUGUAGGCGGCUGCGCAAGUCGGGCGUGAAAUCCCACGGCUCAACCGUGGAAGUGCACUCGAAACUGCGCAGCUAGAGUCCUGGAGAGGAAGGUGGAAUGCUUGGUGUAGAGGUGAAAUUCGUAGAUAUCAAGCGGAACACCGGUGGCGAAGGCGGCCUUCUGGACAGUGACUGACGCUGAGAUGCGAAAGCGUGGGGAGCAAACAGG